AGUGAACGCUGGCGGUAGGCCUAACACAUGCAAGUCGAACGAGUGUCGGACGGGUGAGGAAUACAUCGGAAUCUACUCUGUCGUGGGGGAUAACGUAGGGCAACUUACGCUAAUACCGCAUACGAUUGAAUGAGCCGAUGUCGGAUUAGCUAGUUGGCGGGGUAAAGGCCCACCAAGGCGACGAUCCGUAGCUGGUCUGAGAGGAUGAUCAGCCACACUGGAACGGAGCCACGGUCCAGAUCCUUACGGAGGGCAGAAGUGGGGAAUAUUGGACAAGGGGGGCAAGCCGGAUCCAGCCAUACCGGGGGGGUGAAGAAGGCCUUCGGUUUGUAAAGCCCUUUUGUUGGGAAAGCGGUACCCAAAGAAUAAGCACCGGCUAACUUCGUGCCAGCAGCCGCGGUAAUAC
rnacentral:rRNA from 1 species